rnacentral:tRNA from 1 species
GUUUAAGUAUUUUAAUAAAAAAAGUAAUUUUGUAAAUUACCAAUAAGAGAAAUCUUCUUAAACU